rnacentral:rRNA from 1 species
GACGAACGCUGGCGGCGUGCUUAACACAUGCAAGUCGAACGGAAAGGCCCUGCUUUUGUGGGGUGCUCGAGUGGCGAACGGGUGAGUAACACGUGAGUAACCUGCCCUUGACUUUGGGAUAACUUCAGGAAACUGGGGCUAAUACCGGAUAGGAGCUCCUGCUGCAUGGUGGGGGUUGGAAAGUUUCGGCGGUUGGGGAUGGACUCGCGGCUUAUCAGCUUGUUGGUGGGGUAGUGGCUUACCAAGGCUUUGACGGGUAGCCGGCCUGAGAGGGUGACCGGCCACAUGGGGACUGAGAUACGGCCCAGACUCCUACGGGAGGCAGCAGUGGGGAAUAUUGCACAAUGGGCGGAAGCCUGAUGCAGCAACGCCGCGUGCGGGAUGACGGCCUUCGGGUUGUAAACCGCUUUCGCCUGUGACGAAGCGUGAGUGACGGUAAUGGUAAAGAAGCACCGGCUAACUACGUG